AACGCACGAGACCUGCGGACCUGCGGAGGGAUCAUUACUGAAUUGAUUUUGGGGAUGUUGCUGGUCUCUUGAGGCAAUGGUGCACUCCCUCAAACAUUUCACAAUUUCCAUCUUACCCAUGUGCACAUCCUGUAGGUGGUCUCCCAACCCACCCUCCAAGGAAAGGGGGGGAGUGUGUGGGUCUGGUCUCCUAUGUAUUUCCUUGCCAACAUCACACGUUUUGACUGUAUGAAUCCUGUG
rnacentral:misc_RNA from 1 species